AGAGUUUGAUCAUGGCUCAGAUUGAACGCUGGCGGCAGGCCUAACACAUGCAAGUCGAACGGUAACAGGAAGCAGCUUGCUGCUUCGCUGACGAGUGGCGGACGGGUGAGUAAUGUCUGGGAAACUGCCUGAUGGAGGGGGAUAACUACUGGAAACGGUGGCUAAUACCGCAUAACGUCGCAAGACCAAAGAGGGGGACCUUCGGGCCUCUUGCCAUCAGAUGUGCCCAGAUGGGAUUAGCUAGUUGGUGAGGUAACGGCUCACCAAGGCGACGAUCCCUAGCUGGUCUGAGAGGAUGACCAGCCACACUGGAACUGAGACACGGUCCAGACUCCUACGGGAGGCAGCAGUGGGGAAUAUUGCACAAUGGGCGCAAGCCUGAUGCAGCCAUGCCGCGUGUAUGAAGAAGGCCUUCGGGUUGUAAAGUACUUUCAGCGGGGAGGAAGGUGUUGUGGUUAAUAACCACAGCAAUUGACGUUACCCGCAGAAGAAGCACCGGCUAACUCCGUGCCAGCAGCCGCGGUAAUACGGAGGGUGCAAGCGUUAAUCGGAAUUACUGGGCGUAAAGCGCACGCAGGCGGUCUGUCAAGUCGGAUGUGAAAUCCCCGGGCUCAACCUGGGAACUGCAUUCGAAACUGGCAGGCUUGAGUCUUGUAGAGGGGGGUAGAAUUCCAGGUGUAGCGGUGAAAUGCGUAGAGAUCUGGAGGAAUACCGGUGGCGAAGCCGGCCCCCUGGAAAAAGACUGACGCUCAGGUGCGAAAGCGUGGGGAGGAACCAGGAUUAAAUGCCCUGGUCGGCCACGCCGUAAACGAUGUCUACUUGGAGGUUGUGCCCUUGAGGCGUGGCUUCCGGAGCUAACGCGUUAAGUAGACCGCCUGGGGAGUACGGCCGCAAGGUUAAAACUCAAAUGAAUUGACGGGGGCCCGCACAAGCGGUGGAGCAUGUGGUUUAAUUCGAUGCAACGCGAAGAACCUUACCUGGUCUUGACAUCCACAGAACUUUCCACGGAUGGAUUUGUGCCUUCGGGAACUGUGAGACAGGUGCUGCA
rnacentral:rRNA from 1 species